AACAAAUUUUUUAUGGUUUAAAAAAUUUAUUUUGAAUUUAUUUUACAUAUUAAUUUUUGUAUGAGUUUUUAAUUAUUUUAAAAAUAAUUAAUUUAAUUGAGUAGUAAUUAAUUUUAAAAAUUUAAGAAAUUAAGAUUUAGUAAUAUAUUAAUUAAUAACUUAUUUUGUGCCAGCAGUUGCGGUUAUACAAAAAUUAAAUUAAAUUUUAUUAGUAGAAAUAAUUAAUAAUAAAUAUAAUUAUAUUAAAAAUUUUAAAUUAUUAAGUGAAAUUUUAAUUUAAUAAAAAUUUAUAAUUAAAUUAUGAUUUAAUAAAUUUUUUAAAAAACUAGGAUUAGAUACCCUAUUAUUAAAAAUUUAAAUAUAAAUACUAAAAUAGUAAUUAAUUAUUUAUUGAAACUUAAAUAAUUUGGCGGUAUUUUAGUUCAUUUAGAGGAAUCUGUUUAUUAAUUGAUAAUCCACGAAUAAAUUUACUUAAUUUAAAAUUUUGUAUAUCGUUGUUAUAAAAAUAUUUUUUAAUAAUAAUAAUAUUUAAAAAUUUUAAUUUAAAAUUAAAUCAGAUCAAGAUGCAGAUUAUAAUUAAGAAUAUAAUGGAUUACAAUAAAUUUAUUUAAAUGAAUAUUAAUUUGUAAUAAUUAAUUGAAGGUGGAUUUAAGUGUAAUUUUAUUUAAUUUAAUAUAAUGAUUAAAAUUUAAAAUAUGUACAUAUUGCCCGUCGCUUUCAUUAAUAAAUUGAAAUAAGUCGUAACAAAGUAGAGGUACUGGAAAGUGUUUCUAGAAAGAA
rnacentral:ncRNA from 1 species